rfam:Synechococcus phage S-MbCM6, complete genome.
GGGUCAGUAGCUCAGCGGAUAGAGCCACGCACUUCUAAUGCGUUGGUCGCAGGUUCGAUUCCUGCCUGACUCG